rnacentral:misc_RNA from 1 species
CAGGGAUUGGGAUACAUAUUCCAUGUCUCUUUCUUGCUCACAUAUGGAAACUUUCUGUGUAAUUACAGUAAAACAUGAAGUGCAUGUAAAUCAAAAUAUGACUAAAUAGAAUUCUGCCAGAUAACCCAAUAACAACCCUGUACUUAGAAAAGUGAAUAGCCGUAGUCAACUAUGUCACCAUAUGGAGGAUGUGGUGGAGUGCAAGAUACUGAAGUAGUAGCUUGAGGAACUGAUCCAUAACUAGGAUUGUUGG